rnacentral:sRNA from 1 species
UGUCCUCGUGGGGCGCUCAGGUCCGCCGCAUCUCCUGAGUCCGCGGGGCACGGCCGGCCGGGUCCGUGGUUGUGGAGUGGCCUCCUCUGAUAAGCCGCGAUUCCCUGGCCGGCCACUAU